rnacentral:rRNA from 1 species
AGAGUUUGAUCAUGGCUCAGGACGAACGCUGGCGGCGUGCUUAACACAUGCAAGUCGAACGAGACGAUUGGAAGCUUGCUUUUGAAAGUCGAGUGGCAAACGGGUGAGUGACGUGUAGACAACCUGCCGUAAAGAUGGGGACAACAGUCCGAAAGGACUGCUAAUACCGAAUGUUGUAAAUCUUCCGCAUGGAAGACUUACUAAAGGUGGCCUCUACUUGUAAGCUAUCGCUUUACGAUGGGUCUGCGUCUGAUUAGCUGGUUGGUGGGGUAACGGCCUACCAAGGCGACGAUCAGUAGCCGGUCUGAGAGGAUGAACGGCCACAUUGGAACUGAGACACGGUCCAGACUCCUACGGGAGGCAGCAGUGGGGAAUCUUCCGCAAUGGGCGCAAGCCUGACGGAGCAACGCCGCGUGAGUGAAGAAGGGUUUCGACUCGUAAAGCUCUGUUGUCGGGGACGAACGUGGAGACGGCGAAUAGCCGUUUCCAAUGACGGUACCUGACGAGGAAGCCACGGCUAACUACGUGCCAGCAGCCGCGGUAAUACGUAGGUGGCGAGCGUUGUCCGGAAUUAUUGGGCGUAAAGGGAGCGCAGGCGGGAAGGUAAGUCUAUCUUAAAAGUGCGGGGCUCAACCCCGUGAGGGGAUGGAAACUAUCUUUCUUGAGUGCAGGAGAGGAAAGCGGAAUUCCUAGUGUAGCGGUGAAAUGCGUAGAUAUUAGGAGGAACACCAGUGGCGAAGGCGGCUUUCUGGACUGUAACUGACGCUGAGGCUCGAAAGCGUGGGAGCAAACAGGAUUAGAUACCCUGGUAGUCCACGCGGUAAACGAUGAAUACUAGAUGUCGGGUAGCAAAGCUAUUCGGUGUCGUCGCAAACGCAAUAAGUAUUCCACCUGGGGAGUACGUUCGCAAGAAUGAAACUCAAAGGAAUUGACGGGGACCCGCACAAGCGGUGGAGCAUGUGGUUUAAUUCGAAGCAACGCGAAGAACCUUACCUGCUCUUGACAUCCCAUUCGAUAGAAGGUAAUGCUUCUAGCCCUUCGGGGGAAUGGAGACAGGUGGUGCAUGGUUGUCGUCAGCUCGUGUCGUGAGAUGUUGGGUUAAGUCCCGCAACGAGCGCAACCCUUAUUGUCAGUAGCCAGCAGGUGAAGCUGGGCACUCUGAUGAGACUGCCGGGGAUAACCCGGAGGAAGGUGGGGAUGACGUCAAAUCAUCAUGCCCCUUAUGAGCAGGGCUACACACGUGCUACAAUGGCGUAAACAGAGGGAAGCGAAGGAGUGAUCUGGAGCAAAUCUCAAAAAUAACGUCUCAGUUCGGAUUGUAGUCUGCAACUCGACUACAUGAAGCUGGAAUCGCUAGUAAUCGCAGAUCAGAAUGCUGCGGUGAAUACGUUCCCGGGUCUUGUACACACCGCCCGUCACACCAUGGGAGUCGGUAAUGCCCGAAGUCAGUGACUCAACCAUAAAGGAGAGAGCUGCCGAAGGCAGGACUGGUAACUGGGGUGAAGUCGUAACAAGGUA